UACGUAGGGUGCGAGCGUUGUCCGGAAUCAUUGGGCGUAAAGCGCGCGUAGGUGGCCCCGUAAGUCCGCUGUGAAAGUCAAAGGCUCAACCUUUGAAAGCCGGUGGAUACUGUGGGACUAGAGUACGGAAGAGGCGAGUGGAAUUCCUGGUGCAGCGGUGAAAUGCGCAGAUAUCAGGAGGAACACCGGUGGCGAAGGCGGUUCUCUGGGAAUAUCCUGACGCUGAGAAGCGAAAGCAUGGGGAGCGAACAGG
rnacentral:rRNA from 1 species